UUCCUCGGGAGGCAGCAGUGGGGAAUUGUUCGCAAUGGGCGCAAGCCUGACGACCAACGCCGCGUGGAGGAUGAAGAUUUUCGGAUCGUAAACUCCUGUCGAAUGGGACGAACAGAUCGCGGGUAAACAGCCCGUGGUCCUGACGGUACCGUUAAAGGAAACCCCGGCUAACUCCGUGCCAGCAGCCGCGGUAAUACGGGGGGGGUAAGCGUUGUUCGGAAUUACUGGGCGUAAAGGGCUCGUAGGCGGCCAACUAAGUCAUACGUGAAAUCCCUCAGCUUAACUGGGGAACUGCGUGUGAUACUGGAUGGCUUGGAUUUGGGAGAGGGAUGCGGAAUUCCAGGUGUAGCGGUGAAAUGCGUAGAUAUCUGGAGGAACACCGGUGGCGAAGGCGGCAUCCUGGACCAAUAUUGACGCUGAGGAGCGAAAGCCAGGGGAGCAAACGGGAUUAGAUACCCCGGUAGUCCUGGCCCUAAACGAUGAAUGCUUGGUGUAGCGGGUAUCGAUCCCUGCUGUGCCGAAGCUAACGCAUUAAGCAUUCCGCCUGGGGAGUACGGUCGCAAGGCUGAAACUCAAAGGAAUUGACGGGGGCCCGCACAAGCGGUGGAGCAUGUGGUUCAAUUCGACGCAACGCGAAGAACCUUACCCAGGCUUGAACUGCGAGUGACACGCUCCGAAAGGAGCUUUCCGCAAGGACACUCGUAGAGGUGCUGCAUGGCUGUCGUCACUCGUGUCGUGAGAUGUUGGGUUAAGUCCCGCAACGAGCGCACCCUUGUCCUCUGUUGCCAUCACGUAAUGGUGGGCACUCUGAGGAGACUGCCGGUGAUAAACCGGAGGAAGGUGGGGAUGACGUCAAGUCAGCAUGGCCUUUAUGUCUGGGGCUACACACGUGCUCAAUGGCCGGUACAAAGCGUCGCAAACUCGCGAGGGGGAGCUAAUCGCAGAAAGCCGGUCUCAGUUCA
rnacentral:rRNA from 1 species